GCUAGGUGUGGUGGCGUACACCUGUAGUCCCAGAUAUUCGGGAGGCUGAGGUGGGAGGAUUGCUUGAGCCUGGGAGGUUGAGACUGCAGUGAGCCAAGAUUGUGCCACUGCACUCCAGCCUGGGUUACAGAGCAAAACCCUGUCUUUA
rnacentral:SRP_RNA from 1 species